GACCACAUUAGGGUGAUAUCAGUGUGAUGAUACCAAUGUCUGAGGGACAACUCUUUAGUUAAUAAUAAAACAAUGUAAUCAAAAAUAGAUCAGUGGCUACUGAUAAAGAUUAAAGAUUAUCCAUGACUGACUGUAGGUGCAACGUCAGUGAUAGCACCUGAUUAACUGCCACCACACCCCUCUAAUCAGGUAGGUGCAGGAGCCGUGUGUAUAUAUAUCCACUCACUUGGGCCACUGCCCAUACAUCCGCUCUGCCACCAAACCUGGAAUACUAACAAAAACGGAUCUAGCACCACUGCUUUCAAAAUACAGUACAGACUCAAGGACCACAUCUUGGUGCAACAGACAGCUGAGGAAGAAAGUUAAGGGUCUUUAACCACACCAAAAGUUCAAAAUCAAAAUGGGCAAUGAAGUGUCAUCUCACAAGAAGAAAAGCCGAAAGGGUAAGGCUCAAAAUGGCGAUCUUAAUGGUCAUGCUGGCAAUGCCUCCUCCAAUGGCCUGACUGAAACAGUGACCACUGAGGUAACUGUUGAGACGACCACUGAGACUUCUACCUCAACAAAAACAAGUCCUGCUCCCAUAGCAGAGGCCACUAACGGUAGCCAGACUGAUGAAGAAGUUCAGGAGCAAUCCUCUGACAAAGCUGCAGCAGAACAACCCAGUGAUGCUGUACACAUCACCCAGGAAGGAGAAGAAUCAAAGUCACCUGGAGGAACUAAGACCAACUUUUUCGACAAACUUUUCCACAAAAAGAGUGACACAAAGCCUGUGGAGGUUGACGUUGAAAUCCAGUCAAAAGAAAUUACCUUACCUUACCUUGACCAGGUUGAUGCAGAAGAGGUAACCAGUGACCUCAAGUCUGAGCCUGUGGACAUAAAGGACAGUACAGAGCUUGAACUGUCAGAGAGGGAGCCUCUCCACCCCUGUCCAACCGACACAGAACAGAACCAAACGGAGGAAAAUCCAGUUAUGAACUUUUUUAAAACACUUGUGGCUCCAACCAAAACUCCCAAAGAAGCCACAGCAAGUUCUGAUGUUACAAAAGUCCAGUCACUGAAAGAAACCACAGAGACAAAAGCACCAGCAAAUGUACAGGAAGUGGAUAUAGCGAAAGGGAAGAUGGCCCCACCUCCGCCGCCAGAGCCACCAAAGUUGGAGGUCAAGAUUGAGCCAACAGUUAAGAAAGAGGAGCUACAGGAUGAAUCUAAGGAUACAGAGACAGGCACCAAACCCAAAGCUGCCAAAGAAAGCGCCUUUAGCAAAUUCUUCCGUCCAAAGGCAGUUGAGGAGGCAGCAGCACCUGUGGAGGUAGAGACUGAUGCUUCCAAGACUGCCACCCUAGAAGCCUCUGCUAAACCAGAACCUGCCCCAGCAGUCAAAGAGGAGGAGACGAAGGCUGAAAAGAAGCCCUCAACUUUUGGAUCCAUUUUCAAACCUAAAGUAAGGGCUUGGCCUUCAGGAGAAUGUUUAUUUAAACAAUUGCAAGUUACGUUAAUAGUCCUUAGAGUAUUAUUCAUAUAGUAACAAAGUUGUGUGAAUUUGAGGUAUUGCUAGACCAAGUGACCGCUAAGAUCCAGGCGGUGGCCUCAUCUAGUGGAAUUGGUCGUGCUGCAAAGUCAGCUGGACGGGUAAAUGACCCAAAAAAUUAUUUAAUUAGGCUAAUCUAACUAAAUGACUUACAGUUUGCGUGACAUAUGAAUUUGUCCCAUACUAGAGGUUCUGUUAACCAACAUUUGGUCAACUGCUUCACGUUUUGCUCAAUUAAUGACUAAAACAUCUUCAUAUACUUAUUGCUGGUCUUUAACUGUGUUUAUAUAUGUUUUAUUAACCAAACCCUUACCAACUGUAUUUAAUCAUAUUGAAUGUAUUUUAUGUUCCAUUCUUCCAUUAUGCUCUAUUCCAUCUCUGGUUAUUUUAAAAGUAGAGUCCUUGAUUCUGGCAAAAGGUUGGAAUAUUUGAGAUCAUUCAAAUUACACCCCACCCUUCUGUGCUCGUGUUGAUCAGCCAAUCAGUCCGAGCCACUUUGUUUGUUUUCCAUUUACAGAGCCAGAACUGUAUACGUUUUUUUGAGCGCACAUGGCAACAGUGCCAUGAGGAGCAAUUCGCUGAAUUUGACGGAAACUGAACUCGAUUAGAAACACAAACUCUACUUUUAAGUGACCUUGGAGACACAAUAAUAUUUACAUAAUUAACAUUAGCAUCCCACCCCUCAACAAUAUAUUGGUAAAAUAAAUAUUGACUACUCCAUGUGCA
rnacentral:lncRNA from 1 species